GUAGGUGGCAAGCGUUGUCCGGAAUUAUUGGGCGUAAAGCGCGCGCAGGCGGUCCUUUAAGUCUGAUGUGAAAGCCCACGGCUCAACCGUGGAGGGUCAUUGGAAACUGGGGGGCUUGAGUACAGAAGAGGAAAGCGGAAUUCCAAGUGUAGCGGUGAAAUGCGUAGAGAUUUGGAGGAACACCAGUGGCGAAGGCGGCUUUCUGGUCUGUAACUGACGCUGAGGCGCGAAAGCGUGGGGAGCAAACAGGAUUAGAUACCCUGGUAGUCCACGCCGUAAACGAUGAGUGCUAAGUGUUAGGGGGUUUCCCGCCCCCCUUAGUGCUGCAGCUAACGCAUUAAGCACUCCGCCUGGGGGAGUACGGCCCGCAAGGCUG
rnacentral:rRNA from 1 species